rnacentral:rRNA from 1 species
AUACGUAGGUGGCAAGCGUUAUCCGGAAUUAUUGGGCGUAAAGGGUGCGUAGGCGGCUGGAUAAGUCUGAGGUAAAAGCCCGUGGCUCAACCACGGUAAGCCUUGGAAACUGUCUGGCUGGAGUGCAGGAGAGGACAAUGGAAUUCCAUGUGUAGCGGUAAAAUGCGUAGAUAUAUGGAGGAACACCAGUGGCGAAGGCGGUUGUCUGGCCUGUAACUGACGCGGAAGCACGAAAGCGUGGGGAGCAAAUAGGAUUAGAUACCCUAGUAGUCCACGCCGUAAACGAUGAGAACUAAGUGUUGGGGAAACUCAGUGCUGCAGUUAACGCAAUAAGUUCUCCGCCUGGGGAGUAUGCACGCAAGUGUGAAACUCAAAUGAAUUGACGGGG